rnacentral:rRNA from 1 species
AUUGAACGCUGGCGGCAGGCCUAACACAUGCAAGUCGAACGAGUGGCGGACGGGUGAGUAAUGCCUGGGAAACUGCCUUAUGGAGGGGGAUAACUACGGGAAACUGUAGCUAAUACCGCAUACCAUCGGAUGUGCCCAGGUGGGAUUAGGUAGUGGGUGGGGUAAAGGCUCACCAAGCCGACGAUCCCUAGCUGGUCUGAGAGGAUGACCAGCCACACUGGAACUGAGACACGGUCCAGACUCCUACGGGAGGCAGCAGUGGGGAAUAUUGCACAAUGGGCGCAAGCCUGAUGCAGCCAUGCCGCGUGUAUGAAGAAGGCCUUCGGGUUGUAAAGUACUUUCAGCGGGGAGGCGUUACCCGCAAAAGAAGCACCGGCUAACUCCGUGCCAGCAGCCGCGGUAAUUC